UACGUAGGGGGCAAGCGUUGUCCGGAAUCAUUGGGCGUAAAGAGCGCGUAGGCGGCCCAGUAAGUCCGCUCUGAAAGUCAGGGGCUCAACCCCUGGAUGCGGGUGGAUACUGCCGGGCUAGAGGGUGGUAGAGGCGAGUGGAAUUCCCGGUGUAGCGGUGAAAUGCGCAGAUAUCAGGAGGAACACCGGUGGCGAAGGCGGGUCUCUGGGCCGUAACUGACGCUGAGGAGCGAAAGCGUGGGGAGCGAACAGG
rnacentral:rRNA from 1 species